rnacentral:pre_miRNA from 1 species
AGACUGCGACUUGGGCAAUGUUCUGUCGUCUUAAGAGUAAUAUUGCACUCGUCCCGGCCUGU